rnacentral:rRNA from 1 species
CGGACGAACGGCUGGCGGCGUGCUUAACACAUGCAAGUCGAACGGUGACGAGGAGCUUGCUCCUCUGAUCAGUGGCGAACGGGUGAGUAACACGUGAGCAACCUGCCCCAGACUCUGGGAUAACAGUUGGAAACAGCUGCUAAUACCGGAUACGAGACGGAGAGGCAUCUCUACCGUCUGGAAAGUUUUUCGGUCUGGGAUGGACUCGCGGCCUAUCAGCUAGUUGGUGAGGUAAUGGCUCACCAAGGCGACGACGGGUAGCCGGCCUGAGAGGGCGACCGGCCACACUGGGACUGAGACACGGCCCAGACUCCUACGGGAGGCAGCAGUGGGGAAUAUUGCACAAUGGGCGAAAGCCUGAUGCAGCGACGCCGCGUGAGGGAUGACGGCCUUCGGGUUGUAAACCUCUUUCAGCAGGGAAGAAGCGAAAGUGACGGUACCUGCAGAAGAAGCACCGGCUAACUACGUG